rnacentral:rRNA from 1 species
GAUGAACGCUGGCGGCGUGCCUAAUACAUGCAAGUCGAGCGAACAGACGAGGAGCUUGCUCCUCUGACGUUAGCGGCGGACGGGUGAGUAACACGUGGAUAACCUACCUAUAAGACUGGGAUAACUUCGGGAAACCGGAGCUAAUACCGGAUAAUAUAUUGAACCGCAUGGUUCAAUAGUGAAAGACGGUUUUGCUGUCACUUAUAGAUGGAUCCGCGCCGCAUUAGCUAGUUGGUAAGGUAACGGCUUACCAAGGCAACGAUGCGUAGCCGACCUGAGAGGGUCGUCGGCCACACUGGAACUGAGACACGGUCCCGACUCCUACGGGAGGCCGCAGUAGGGAAUCUUCCGCAAUGGGCGAAAGCCUGACGGAGCAACGCCGCGUGAGUGAUGAAGGUCUUCGGAUCGUAAAACUCUGUUAUUAGGGAAGAACAAAUGUGUAAGUAACUAUGCACGUCUUGACGGUACCUAAUCAGAAAGCCACGGCUAACUACGUG